rnacentral:rRNA from 1 species
AUUGAACGCUGGCGGCAGGCUUAACACAUGCAAGUCGAGCGGUAACAUUGGUAGCUUGCUACCAGAUGACGAGCGGCGGACGGGUGAGUAAUGCUUAGGAAUCUACCUAGUAGUGGGGGAUAGCUCGGGGAAACUCGAAUUAAUACCGCAUACGUCCUACGGGAGAAAGCAGGGGAUCUUUGGACCUUGCGCUAUUAGAUGAGCCUAAGUCGGAUUAGCUAGUUGGUGGGGUAAAGGCCUACCAAGGCGACGAUCUGUAGCUGGUCUGAGAGGAUGAUCAGCCACACUGGGACUGAGACACGGCCCAGACUCCUACGGGAGGCAGCAGUGGGGAAUAUUGGACAAUGGGGGGAACCCUGAUCCAGCCAUGCCGCGUGUGUGAAGAAGGCCUUUUGGUUGUAAAGCACUUUAAGCAGUGAAGAAGAAGUUAUGGUUAAUACCCAUAAUGGAUGACAUUAGCUGCAGAAUAAGCACCGGCUAACUCUGUGCCAGCAGCCGCAGUAAAAC